AGUGGAUGGGGAGCAACCUAGUUGUGCGUGUGUAAAGGUAGUGCCAAGAAAAGCGAUGAUCAUGUUGAAAAUCAAUUCCCGGUACCCGAAACCGACACAGGUGGGCAAGUAGAGAAUACUAAGGGGCGCGAGGUAACUCUCUCCAAGGAACUCGGCAAAAUGACCCCGUAACUUAGGGAGAAGGGGUGCCACCGAGAGGUGGUCGCAGUGAAGAGGCCCAGGCGACUGUUUAGCAAAAACAUAGGUCUCUGCAAACUCGAAAGAGGAGGUAUAGGGGCUGACGCCUGCCCAGUGCCGGAAGGUUAAAGAAGUUGGUCAGUCUUAGGAUGAAGCUAGCGACUGAAGCCCCGGUGAACGGCGGCCGUAACUAUAACGGUCCUAAGGUAGCGAAAUUCCUUGUCGGGUAAGUUCCGACCCGCACGAAAGGCGUAACGAUCUGGGCGCUGUCUCGGAGAGAGGCUCGGCGAAAUAGGAUUGUCUGUGAAGAUACGGACUACCUGCAUUUGGACAGAAAGACCCUAUGAAGCUUUACUAUAGCUUGGAAUUGUGUUCGGGCUUCCUGUGCGCAGGAUAGGUGGGAGGCGUAGAAGGUAUUCUUGUGGGGAUACUGGAGCCAACGGUGAGAUACCACUCUCAGGAGGCUAGAAUUCUAACUUAAUUAAGGACAGUUUCAGGUGGGUAGUUUGACUGGAGCGGUCGCCUCCAAAAAGGUAACGGAGGCGUACAAAGGUUCCCUCAGACUGGUUGGAAAUCAGUCGAAGAGUGCAAAGGCAGAAGGGAGCUUGACUGCGAGAAGUACAGUUCGAGCAGGGUGGAAACACGGUCUUAGUGAUCCGACGGUGCUGUGUGGAAGGGCCGUCGCUCAACGGAUAAAAGUUACUCUAGGAUAACAGGCUGAUCUCCCCCAAGAGUUCACAUCGACGGGGAGGUUUGGCACCUCGAUGUCGGCUCAUCGCAACCUGGGGCGGAAGUACGUCCCAAGGGUUGGGCUGUUCGCCCAUUAAAGCGGUACGUGAGCUGGGUUCAGAACGUCGUGAGACAGUUCGGUCCAUAUCCGAUGUAGGCGUGAGAAUAUUGAGAGGAGCCUUCCUUAGUACGAGAGGACCGGGAAGGACGCACCGCUGGUGUACCUGUUAUGAUGCCAAUUGUAAACGCAGGGUAGCCAAGUGCGGAGAGGAUAACCGCUGAAAGCAUCUAAGUGGGAAGCCCACCUCAAGAUGAGUAUUCUGGUGUAAGGUCACGGGAAGACGACCCGUAAAUAGGCACGAGGUGGAAGUGCAGAGAUGUAUGAAGCCGAAGUGUACUAAUAGACCGUCGGCUUGACC
rnacentral:rRNA from 1 species